rfam:Planktothrix agardhii NIVA-CYA 126/8 chromosome, whole genome shotgun sequence.
GCCGGGAUAGCUCAGUCGGUAGAGCAGAGGACUGAAAAUCCUCGUGUCGGGAGUUCAAGUCUCCCUCCUGGCA